CGGGUUACAGUAAGACUCGUAUAAGUAAACUAUUGGCGCCCUUAACGUCUGUUUACUCAUCACACUUAAAAUCGAAUUUAGCUGAAUGCUAAAACACCACGCAAUAUAGUUACGAGCUCACAGGAGGAAUAGUUUAUUAUUUUAUUCGACGGUAGCCCGUUUGAUGCUGUUGCAAUGGUGAUGGGACUUAACAGCGAGGCGAAAGAAAGGCUGUCAGUCAACAAAUGUUAUCAUUACUUUAAAAUAAUUCAGACAUGGAUGAGCGCUUUGCCUUUCUGGCUGAGUGGUACGACCCAAGCGCUGCUCUCCUGCGACGAUACCAGCUGCUCUACUACCCUAAAGAUGGCUCCGUGGAGAUGGUGCGUCCCUUUACUCAGAUUUCAGGACUUUGGCUAUGAUUAAGCCAGAUGCUGUCAAAAAAGUUGGCAACAUUAUUCAGAUGAUUUUUGAUGCCAUCCUUAUAAUCACAAAAACCAAAAUGACCAAACUUACAUGGAAGCAUGCAGCGGACUUUUACACGGAACAUCAGUCAAAGUCUUUUUUACAAGAGCUGGAGUUCUUCUUCCCUUCCACUAGUGGUCACGGUCCCUCCAACACAGCCAAGUACUCAGACUGCACCUGCUGUAUCAUUAAACCUCAUGCCAUCUCAGAAGAAUAUGGUGGAUGAACUUUGUUCUGGACCUUGCAUGGCCCUGGAGAUCCAUGCCUUUCAGGAGUUCUGUGGACCCGCAGACCCUGAAAUUGCACGCCACCUUCAGCCCACCACUUCAUGAUUGCUCUACGGCAAAAACAAAGUGCAGAAUGCAGUUCACUGCACUGACCUACCGGAUGACGGGAUACUGAAUGGUGAGCUCAAGCAAAUAUCAUUCAAAUGUUAUGCAAGAGCCACACAGUCACGUUUUGUAUUCAGUCUCAUUUUGAGGAAGUUUGUUUGCCUUCAAAAAUAUUUCUGCAUCCCACAAAUGGGUAUGCAGCCCAGAACAAAAUGGCAUCAAGGUCUCAUGACUGUCCGCAGUGGGCCGAGGCAGAUCCCCAGCCCGGCUCCAGGAAGGAAAACAGGCGGGUAAAAAAGCCAUUGUUAUGCCAAGGAGUGGGUUUGGCCCAGUGGACGUCAUUGUUGUGCACAACUCCUGAUCUGUCCAGCCUCCCAGCACAAAUGGCCCCUUGUUAAUCAUUUGCCUGCUGACCGACUCAGCCAUGACAUUCCAAGAGCUCAGGCCUCACAGAGGCCCAGCACAGACGCCGGCUGCCGUAACAGGCACAAUUCAGGGAAAGUCAAUUGUUUGAAAGUAAAACAAGCUGCUGAGCUGAUGCUCAGGUUUGAUGAAGUGCUAAAAGUGCUUCUCAAAUUAACACAGGUUUUUUUUUUUAUGUAAGACAUUGGAAUUUAAUAAACACUCCCUAUUCAUAUACUUAUGCAAUAUUCUAUGCCAUUUUUUUGAAUAAAUAAGUGCGAGUAGAAAAAAACAAAGUGUGAAAUAUUGGACUCUUAAUGCACUUGAGAGGUUAGUUCACCCAAAAAUAAAAAUUCAGUGAUUAAUUACUUACCCUCAUGCUGUUCCAAACCUGUAAGACCUUAAUUUAUCUUCAUUUAGAGUUCUUCUCCUCCUCGUCCCAUUCUCCACCAUUAUCGAGAGUACCACGACACAUGUGCUGAGCCUUGUUUACGAGCAGAGGAAUGCAUGCCCAUGUGUCCUGGUUCUUUCAAUAAUAGCGGAAGACAGUCACUUGGAAGAGAACAAUUGUUAAAUUAAGUUGUUACUUUAUUUUUUUCAGCACAGUAAUUUUACUUGUAGCUUUGUAAAAUACAGUUGAACUACUGAUAUUACAUGGACAUUCUGGACCUGGGAACAUUUCAGUUGCAUUUCAGUUGGAUUUUAGUUGCAUUGCUCUCUAUGGAGGGUCAAAAAGCUCUUAGAUUUCAUCAAUAAUGUCUUACAGGUUUGGAAUGACAUGAGGGUCAGUACUUAAUGAUAGAAUUUCCAUUUUUGGGUGAACUAUCCCUUUAAAGCUGGGAUAAACUACAUUACUUUUAAAAUCUGCACAGAUCUGCUUACAGAUUAAAACUAGGUAUCAUACACAAAUGUCUAACAGGUAACACAGAAACAUUUGUCUUGUAGCUGGGAAUGAAAAUGAUAAAUAAAAACAGUUUUUAAUUUUAAAAAACCAGUUUUUUAAAAUUAGACAAGGAUUUUGUUUGAAAUCUAAAAAGCUUAAAGUUGUGUUAACAUUGUGUAGUGUUCUUCAACUGCCACCAGUUUCCUUAAAGGACUCCCAUGUUGGGACAGUUGGAUGCAAAUUCAUACAUCAGACAGUACAUAGUGCGUUUAUAGAGUUUAUUUUUGUCUUGGUUUUGAUCUUUUGUCAGUGUCAUUAUGGAAGCUUGAAAUGAAUUGUGGGAAUUUGUUUUUCAGGUUCAGUAUUUCUUUAAGAUUUUAGAUGGGUGACGCAACGGUGGGAAACAUCUAUCCAGCAGUUAUUUAAAUAAAGACCACUUGAAAGACAAUA